rnacentral:rRNA from 1 species
UACACACCGCCCGUCACACCAUGGGAGUUGGUUCUACCUUAAGCCGCCGGGCUAACCCAGCAAUGGGAGGCAGGCGUCCACGGUCGGGUCAGCGACUGGGGUG